GGUACAGUGGCCUAGUGGUUAGAGCGUUCGCAUCGGAUGCGGGAGGUCGCGGGUUCAAGCCCUGGCUGAGACAUAUCA